rnacentral:rRNA from 1 species
GGAUCUGUUGGUCGGUCGUGCCUCGGUACGUACUGGUCAAAUUGAUUCCUACCUUCUGACGAACCAUGAUGUCAUUAAUUUGGUGUCUUGGGGAAUCAGGACUGUUACUUUGAAAAAAUUAGAGUGCUUAAAGCAGGCUCACGCUUGAAUACAUUAGCAUGGAAUAACGAAAUAGGACGUUUGAUUCUAUUUUGUUGGUUUCUAGAGUCGCCGUA